UACGUAGGCAGCAAGCGUUGUUCGGAGUUACUGGGCGUAAAGGGUGCGUAGGCGGCUUUUUAAGUUUGGUGUGAAAUCUCCCGGCUCAACUGGGAGGGUGCGCCGAAUACUGAGAAGCUAGAGUGUGGGAGAGGAAAGUGGAAUUCCUGGUGUAGCGGUGAAAUGCGUAGAUAUCAGGAGGAACACCGGUGGUGUAAACGGCUUUCUGGACCAUAACUGACGCUGAGGCACGAAAGCGUGGGUAGCAAACAGG
rnacentral:rRNA from 1 species